GCACCACCACCAAGGUGUUGUAUUCUGUACCUUGCUGAAAACUCACUAAAGGUUUGGCUCAGAAGAAAGUCUUAUGUUUUCCAUUGUGUGGGGGCAGUUGCCCUACGACUCUAGUUUUUGUUUUUCAAGGUUAACCUCAUAUAGACUACUAACUAGCUGCUAAUGAGUAGAAGUCAUUUCUGCCAAGUCAGAAUCAGGAGGCAGCAAAGCAUUCACUGCCAUCCAUGACAAAAGCACCUGCUGUAGUUACUGUUGAGCAAUGACAAGCUGCUGCAGUGUCUACAGGAAUUCUCCCAGCAGACAAUCCCUGGGACAUGUGAAAUCAAGACACUGGUGGAAGUGCUGAUCUGGGAAACCAAAGCCACAGCCUGUUGCCUGCUUGAUGUCUACACUGCCUUCCAUGUUUUGUCUAGCACCUAGUUCAUCAAAAUGUGAGUUCAGUGAAUAAGGGAAGAAGCCACACCCAGCCCGGCAAAUGCCUCUGUAUCCUGGGAUGGAGGACAGCCACCCAGCACCAUCCCAGGGUCCCUG